CCCUGAAGAAGGGAUACCAGAGCCAACCAGCUGGUGUUCAAGGCACGGUGAGGAAAAGAAAGGUGUGGUGGUCACGGCAUUGACCUGCUGGAAAACGUGCCACCCAGGACAGAGAACGAGCUACUGAGGAUGUUCUUCAGGCAGCAGGAGGAGCUGAGAAAGCUGAAGGAGGAGCUGAACACCAAGGACGUUAAAAUACGCCAGCUGGAGCUGGAACUCAACAACCUGAGGAACGUCAGCCCCGUUGGAAACAAUGUCUGACCUCUGACCUCUAGCUUAUGGCACCACCAUCACCACCAUGCCACGUCCAGRGUCCUCCCUCCCUUUCAUUGUGUAUCAUUUGUACUUCCUGUUGCAAUUGAUAAUGUAAUAGCCACCGGAUAAUGUAAAGACUGAUUAUAACGUUUGUGUAACAAUUUUUGUUAUCGAUAAUGUAAUCAUAUUGACAUCACUGUUAAAUCCCUCAAUUGACAACAUAAUAACCAACUGGUAAUGUAAUUUAUUGUUAUAAGAUUUUUUUUAAAUUCUUUUCGAUUGAUGUAUCCUGAUAUCCGGUUUGGUUUCAUUAUGAUUAGUUAUUACAUCAUCAGUCGCAAUACACCCCUCCCCCCUACUGCAGAGCACCAUCAGUGUAUCCCCGGGGUCCUCACACCCCACCUGCCAUGUCAUGCCCCUCUGAGUCCACGUGGCAAAGCCUUUGUCAUCACCCAGAAAUGCCACCCCCAAAUCCUCCAACCUCCACCCUGCCAUCACCAGAGACUACUCUGGGGAAAGAGAUUGACUUCCCCCUUCUACCCCAAUCCUCCCCCAUGGCCUAUCCACUGCAAACCAACUCACAGCAAAGCUGCAACAUCUCAACCUCCCAAUGGAAGAGUCUUCUACUAGUUCCAACUACUGUGGAUGAUGAGUUUUACAGGGACAUGAAUGAAGAUGAGUUUUACAGGGACAUGAAUGAGGAUGAUGAGUUUUACAGGGACAUGAAUGAGGUGUAUUUCAAGACAGUUUUUUUUCUUCAUCUCUCCUAAGAAUGUGUUGUCUGUAAAAAGCUGCAGCUCUGGCUCAGACUGGCAUACAGCAACCCAAAUGUAGUCUUAAUGGGCAGUUUGUCUGUCGCCUCAGUCAUUAUCUUUAGGAGAAGUUUUGUUGGAAAAUGUAUUAUUGUUACUAUUUAUUUGUUAUAURUMAUGUUUUUAGCUAACUCUUUAUGCAGAAACAUUCAUCUCAUGUCUUUGGGAGAAAUCGUGGUCAUGAAAAUGAUGGCUGACACACUUGUGAUUGAAUUAUGUUUUCACCCAAAUGGUGGCAAUUUGUAAGUAUACUCAAACAGAUCCUGUAUUUUCUAGAUUGAAUCGACACAAUACUCAAAUCUGGUAAAUUGRAAUAUUAGUCAACAUGAAAUUAGGUUAUGUACGUAACAGUACAUCAAACUGAAAUAUUAAUACAAUAUUUGUCUUUAUACCUUUCAGCUAUGAAUAUUCUAUUUAAGAAAGUUACCCACAUUGUUAAUCUGAGGUAUUCCACAUGAUCCAUUCCACUCAAGUUAAGACUCUGAUACUUCCUGUAGUUCAGGUUACCUAUACUAUACCUCUACASAGGAAUCAUUAUUUGUACCAUUGUCAUAAUAUUGUCAUAAUCGGUAACAUACUCUGCAGGGGUUGACUGACUAAAUGAAUGAAACAGCAAUAUUACUUACACAAGGUAAUUAUUUACAUCUUUACCCCUAACAUAUACCUUGUAAAGACCCCCCCUCAAAUGUUAUACUGUAAUAGUGUGUCCUUAUCCAAUGAAGACGCCUAGCAAACAAAUGUAGGUACAGUAGGGUGGUUGCCAGGUGUUACAUUUUGCUUUAGCCAACCCCUCUGGCAUUCAUUGUCGUGCCGUAUGGACAUUGGAGAAGUUGCCUUAAGCUCUUACAGGUGUGGGUGGCUAGCACCAGACUAUAGGCACAGCGCCCUGUGGGCAUCUAGUCUGGCAACAGUGAAGGUGAACAUGGUGGAUAAGGUCAGGUCAGCCCGUAGAGAAUGACAGAGGUCUCAAGUGGCCUAAAGGAGGGAUUCACAGUGUGUUUCACUGUGAAGACGCAGCAGUAUGCAAGGUGAGUGAAAAGCGCUGCAGUAUUGUUUGAAUGGGAGGAUAACUAACCAUUUGGUGGAGAUGAUGAUGAUGGCCUAUAGGUGUAGUAAAUACUGGUCGACGACCAUCUAAAUGCCUAAUUGUACUAUGUGCUGAUGAAACUGUGCAGAAUGACAAUUCUCUCAGAAAGACAGAACAUUGUACUGUGUCAGUUAGCCUAUAAUACAUCCUGUUUCACCUCAUUGAUCUACAAGUCCCAACAACUAAAAUCAAUUUGUCAAGUUAAUACAAUGAGUGGAUAAACCAGA